UAGCAUACACCGCACUGCAAGGAAGGACUCCACAACAGGAAACAGGUUCAAAGUAUACUUGUACCCAGUACUGCUGAGAGUAUCUUCACAACUGUGACUUUACACAACUGGAGUCACACAACCAACUAUUCCACACUGAAUAUUACGGAACAGGACUAAACAUCAAAUGAGGCAACGUCCAGGGGAUCCAGUUACAAACGUGACCAUUAGUAAGCCUUUAGACUCCAGAUCCUUCAUCCUCCGUGGGACAACUUGAGUUAAUCAGAGAGCACAGAGAUCCUUCUGCACAGAGCUGCACAGAGUGCUCCUUCCUGUGGCAACGAUUCUUCUGGUACAUGUGAAUAAACCUGACUCUACAGAUAGAUAUCAACUGCAGAGAGAUGUAAGCAGAAAAAGAGAGAAAGGAGACUUCAUUCCUCCUAAUGAAAUUGGAGACUUCUGACUUCAGUCAGCAUAACUUUCUUGGAUGUAAAAGAGUUUUUCAAGUUGAUGAAUUCACUGUGUGAUUUUUCUGGAAACAUAGCAGUUUCAUUUUCUCCAGGGCUGAGCUACCUGAUGGGAAGAGGACAUCACCUGCUUAUCAGCAUGGCAGUAGUGUGGAUAUCACACCAGCCUCAUCACGCCAGCUUCAACUGAGCCAUCACCUGUCAUCUGUCCUGUGACAGGGAAGUUUCACUGUUAAAAAGAUGCACUGACAGAGACUUUUCUCACAGAGAGAGUGGCCUAGAUCUUCAAACUCACUGCCAAGGAUCAGUGACCCUCUAGCCCCACCACCUACAGAAAUUCAUCCAAAGUAGUAUAAAUUUUCCCACAAAAGACCCUCUCAAGUAUGUCAGGACUCUCAUCCACAUUCAGAAAGGCCCAGCAGUAACUUUAAAGUGCAUUCCUGUCAUGACAGCUUCAAAGGGAAAGAUUUGUGCAUUUACUUCUAAUUGGUAGUUCUCAGAUACCAAAGUUAUGGAGGAGCUUAGGCCACAUAAAGCAAUUAAAUGUAAUGCCCUAGGAGAAGUUAGAUGCUAUUUCUGACUGAAUGACCUCAAGAAUGUGUGCAAGUGUUCUGAUCUAUGACACAAGUGAAAUAGGAGGUAUCUAAAUGUGUUCAGUAGCAAUUUUUUUCUCAAAGCAUAAGGUUUUUAUUCUCUUGGUUUAGUCAAUUUGACUCCUGGCACCAGCCCGUUCCUUCCAUAUGGUAUCAGGUACAACUGCAAUAAAAGAAUUAAAACUCUACAGAAAUCUCAAAAGGCAUUAAUAUGUUUGCUUGGUCAGACUAUGGAGUCUCAAGGCAAGAAGGAAGCCAAGACAAACAGGAAUAUAUUGCUUAAAUCAAGUCGUGGGCAGGUACUGAACUUCCUUUCUUCAUUAUUUCUAAUCAGUUUAAGAGCAUGAUUCAUUUGUUAAACUUCAUUCUGUACAAGUGGGGAGAAAAAAGUGAAUUACCCAUUGAAUGCACAAUAGAAUAAUGAAAGGAAGCUGCAGGUACUUCAUGCUUUUGAAAAUUAUUCACUCUUCAAGAAAAUGCUUAGAGACAUAUUUAUGUCUAUCUCUGUUAAGUAAAACACACAUUUAUGUUUGAAGAUUUUCUUGGAUUAAGUCUAAAUAGAAAAUUUCAGAAAUGCCAGGCUUGAGGACUGUGUCCACCUCUGCAUCACUGGACCAGGCUGUAUAUAUUAAGAAAUAAUCACAUUUCAAGCAGAAGACACUGUCUGAGACUACACUUCAGUGCCCCAAAUGAUGAACGUUUUGCUGAGCUUCCUGCAAUGCAAUUACACUGCAACUCAGAUAGCUAUCACAAGAUAAAUCUAAUGCUCAGCAGAAAAUUUAAAAUAUUUCUUGAUUAGGUGCAGCUGACCUAUAAGACAGCCUUUGAACUUUUAAUUAAUAUCUUUAAAGGAAGGGGAGGUUUACGCAUGAAAGGGCAACUCCUUAAAAUUAUUUUGCAAUUGAUAAACUGACCCGUUCAAGAAUUUUCUACCUUGAUUGACCUGUGGUGGCAAUCCCUUGGGUAAUGUACAUCUGCUCUCUUACAGGAAAUCUGUAAGACCAAUUUACAAAAUAAAAAAUCUUGCAGAGAAAACAAGGAAAAAAAAUUGCAAGUUCCCCCAAACUCAGUAUAUUUUAUAUAACCCAUGUUAACAAGUGAAUCUCAAUGCACCAUCAUUAACCUAAAAAACCAAGAAUGCGUGCUGUGUUGUAUUAAUGGUUAGAGAACAUCUGCCUCAUUAGGAAUAAUACAGAAAAUUAUGUCUACUAUGUAUACAUGUUAAAGAUCUUUUGUUAGAUAGUAUUAUUCAUGCUUUCUACUCCAUCUUUUCUACCUGAGAGCAGAAGACACUAUUUUGCUUCACUUAAAAUCGGUCACAAAUUUAAUAAAUUUUCACCACAGCUAUUAAAAAUAUAGUCAGACUUGGAGUAGGGAAAGAGUAUCAAGUAUGAAUAGAUAUCAUUACCUAUUUUUGAUUUAAAAAGUUGAACAACACAGAAACUUAAAAAAGUGUUCAGUGAAGAAAGGUGUCUCUAUCAUUAAGAUAUUGUUCAGGGCCUACUUUGAAAAUCUGUCACAAAAAUACUUUCUCACAGGCCAUUAAUUCACUAAAACCACCUCUUCUUUGAGAACACGUAUUUAAUUCCAUACUGGAAAUUCAUAUAUCAUCCCUCAGAAUAAAUCUGAAAUUUUGGGCAGGUUCCUUCAUAAUUUGAGACCACAAAAAGUAUCCCAAGAGUCUCCACAUCAUACAAGACACUCAGUAAAAAAAACAAGAAUACCUCACCAAAGACUGGCAUACCAAGAAAAAUGGAUGUGAGGUAGGAGUCUCAUCCCCACAUAUGAUGUUCAUUGCAUGGGUUUUGUGCGAGGACAAAAAAUUACAGCAAAAAGAUAAUUAUGAAAAAAACUCUUAACACAUGUCUUGCUUUAAGAGGAGGAAGAUUCUGCUUGUAAAGGUUGUAGAUUAAUUUGAAACUCAAAUACUAACCUACUAUCCACCUUCCUAAACACAAUUCCUAAUCUCAUUUAAGAAAUAAACCUUAUGGCAAAUAGAAGAAAGCCCACAUGCAUGAACUUUCCCUGACCCAGUUCUGGGUGAAUUUUUCUCAAAGACAGCCUUUUGCAGUCUUUUUUAUAGAAAGCUGUGGAUCUAUUUUGAUUUUUAUAGAAAAUUAGUCGCUUCCCCUGAUCACCAUUCUUGAGUCAGAAAGUAAGGCCAGUGCAAAUGAGAAAAUGUAAUAGAUCAAGCCUCAAAAAAUAAAUGUGAAACUGGAUUUUACUAAGAUAAGCAUGAACAUUCCUGAUACUUAUCUACUGAAAAUCCUUAAGUGGAAAAUAACUCUCCAACAAUAACAAAAAAACCCAACAAAAACACCACCACAACAACAAAAAUAAACAACCCACUCCCCGCCCCCAAAAGAACAACAACAACAACAACAACAAAAAAAAAAGGCAAAAAAUAGAAGCUAGAUGUUAUUUAGUGCUCAUGACAGAGUUCCAGGAGAGGUCUGCUGUCCAUGAACAAGACCAGGAAAGAGGAGGAAUGAAGCAUGGCUGAGCAUUUAAUCUUCUCUACUAAUCACAAAGAAGAAGACAAGUUGUUUUAAAGAUUGUUACAUCUCCACUGCUCUGGUAUGUACGUAACAACUGAGGUAGAACAAGAAAAUACUGGAUGUGACCAUAAACAUCUAUGAGCAUAGCUAAGGGAAAAGCAGAUAUCUGCACCUGGUGCAGAAUAAUCCCAUGUAUCCAUUCAGGCUGGGAACCCACUGUUUGGGCGGCAGGCCCAGACAAAAGGGUAUUUCUGUGGACACAGAAGGUUGAGCAAGGCAACAGCAUGCUUUUAUCAGAAAUAAGGCAAGCACCAAGCAACUACACUAGAAGACUGGGACUGACAGGCUAGAAAGGUUUUCUUCUCUACUCAGCAUGGCCUCACACACUAGGGCAGUCAGCUGUGAUCCUUCCCAGAUGAACAGGAAUGUGAAGAAGACAGAGGAGAUGCUGAAGAGCAACCAAGAUACUCAGGAGUCUUGAGCUUUCGUCUUGGAGCAGGUGAUGGAGCUGAACAUGUUUGGUCUGACAGAAGGGUGUUCUAACAGGUGAUGUAGUAGCAGCCUACAUCUCCUUUAAGGUAAAUGAUAAGCCAAAAUCUUCUCAGCGGUGACAGAACAUAUAGAAAGGGACAAUGACCAUAAAUUGCCAUUUGGGAGGUUCAGGGUGGCUCUUCCAUUCUUCCCUCCCCAAGUCAAACCACCUCUUUUUUCAACAGGCAGGUGUUGCAGACCUGCAGGUUAUUCAGCAAGGUGGUGGGACCUUCAUCCAGGGAAAUUUAGGACCUGUCUGGACAAAGCCAUCUCACACAACUGGGAAGAGUGUAUCUCCCAGCUGGACUGGGUAACUUCCCAAGGUUCCUUCAAAACAAUGUGUAGUGGCCAAUGGGGGAUGUCCAUGAAUACCUAUCAAUACAGGCCAUGCAAAUUGUUACUGCCCUUGUGCACACAUCCAUAUGUGUGAUUUGGAAUUCAGAACAUUCCAGAGCAAAAGUAAAGUUGGUAGCUUUGUAAAUAGAAGGACAUCUCCACGACAAAUAUCAAAGACUUCUGCAUGGAAUACAUUACAAAGAAGUCAGAAAGAAACAGAAACUUUAUUAUUCCUGAAAUAAAUCCAACAUGUGAAAUUAGGAAACGUAUGUAACUAAUUAUAUCCUACCAGUAUAAACAGUAUCAAAGAGGAGUAUUUUUCUUCUGAACAUCUCAAGCCAUCACAUUUUCAGAAUGUCAAUUAAAAACAAAAAUAAUACAAAGCUCUUAUGAUAACUGAAGAUGAAACCCAGAGUUAAAUUUGCAACAAAUCUGGAAUUCCCCUUUGAUCACUCUAAGGCAAUGGCUGCACAUUUUUAUCACACCAAAUAAGCCAUAAUAAACUGCAACAGCAAUAACAGAAGGAAUCCUGUGACAUCCCAAGACAAUGCUUUUGAAAAGUUACAAUAUCACAGCCUUUUAGUGUAAGCACACGUGUUAAAUAUGCACAUGGCUCCAUGUGUAGGUGAUGCAGUGUGGCAUAAAGUGGUAUCUAAAAAGAAGGUUUUCAAAAAAUUGCAGGAAAGAUCAUAAAUUUUAAUAGGACUUUCAAUGUAAAGAACUAUUGAAGUGCACAAAAAACGAUUCAAUUCACAGCUCUGCUCCCCUGCACAACUUUACUGAAAGCAAAGGCCUUUGCUCAAGAGUAGCUUCUUCCUCUUGCUGCAGAGGUUUUCAAAAUAGCUGUCUUUUCUAGAAUCUGGCAGGUUUGUAUUUACAAAGAAACUAACCAAUUGACUUCUGAAUGUAGGUCACAACACUCAUUCCUUAGGUGGCUGGCCUAUUUUUAUCUUAUUUGAAAGGGCAAGAAGAAAAAAGAAGAGCUAACUGGGCAUGCUUCUUAGCUCCAAAGUGUUUUUCACUCUGGGAGUGAUACAUGAAAAUAUCACUGCAGAAAUUAUUUUUAUUUGUAACAAAUCUUCAAUUCCCUAGAUCUUAUCUAAAAAACAAACACACAACUCCAAACUGCUACACCAAAGCCUUUAAAAGCAAAACUCUGUAACCAUUCUUGUAUUACUUCAACCUGCAUGUCAGAGUGAGGUUUCAGGAGACCAAUGAUCUACUCAAAAGGACUCACCCCAGAUAGCCCAUUCCUGUAACAGAAAUAGUACAGAGCUAUAACGGGCUCCACUGCAGUCAGGAAUAGCUUAGCAGUGGUAGAAGCAGACAUCUCCACAUACUUUGUAAUGUCUUUACAACUCUAAGCUACUCAUCUCAAGACUUCUUUUUUCAAAUAGUUGUGGCUUUUUUGUUAUGUUUUGGUUUUUAAUUCUGUAAGAAAGUCUGUUUUCCAAGCUGCAACUAUAUUUGAUCAAGUGGCUGGAAAAAAAAUGAGUCUGGAACACCAUAAAUAUUAUCCUAUUAUCUGACUGUGAUUAAAUCAGAAUUAUACAAAUACGUUAAAAUAAUUUGUAGACUGACAAUAAGGAUGGCUGUCAAACUGAAACCCAAUGGAACUUCAAAUGCACCUUAAACACUGUAUCAGUGACAGAUACUUUAAGGUAAUAUUAUUACCAGGUGUCUUAUGCUACAGUAAUGUUUCAGGAUCUUUCACACAGAUCUGUUCAGAUAAAAGAUGUAAUGCUGGCAUUACAUUUGCCAAAAUUGCCAUUUGCAAUUAAAAAUUAAAACUGGCACUCUUUCUAUGCAGGCAAUUAUCUAAACGCAGCUGGCAGUCUUCCUUGUUUACAGCACUGCUGUGUCAUGACUACCCUCCGUUUGGAAAUUUACCACCUUUUUUUUUUUUUUUUUUUUAAGGUUUAAACUUGUCAGCUGUAUUUCCCACUUGAACUUUUCUGGUUUUAAAGAUUUCUAUUAUGAACUCAAACAAAAAGGUCCAAAACUAUAAUUUGUAUAUUUUGUAUGGCAACUUCAGGCACUGCCGUAAAAUUAUUCCUAGUAUAUAUUUUGGUGUUUGUUGCAACACUAAUUUACAUCCAUCUAGGCCACAGGAAAACACCUGUAAGGACCCAGACAGCAAAAUGUACCAAAUAAAUGCUGUCGAAGAAGAACAUAUUUGGAUGUAAGAGUUGAUUUUCAGAGUAAAACAGAAAUAAUGGGAAGAUCCUCUAAGCGGACAAAAAACCUUUUAUUGAAUAAUAUAUGAUAUUAAGCAUAUUGCUUACUUGCUAUCUAUAGUAAUUGUCAUCUACUAAAUGAAUCUAUCCACAAAGUAUCGUAUUAAUCAGAGUGCCAUGUUUUUGGCAACGUUUUACUUACAACAGCUGCUAUUAAAGCAAGAUUUGAGGGUUCCCCUGUUGCUGGGAGAAGAGCGCUCUUUAUGCUGUCAAACAGCUUGUAGGGACCAGUUGCUUUUUUAUCCAAGACGCUGCAGCCACUAGCUUGAUUUCCAUGACUGUUAUGGAACUAAUACAAGUACUUACAGCAUAUCAGUUAAAUAUUCUGAUUAGGAGGUAUUUCCUGUAGACAAACAUAACGAUAAAUUGUAUUAUAUCCCUAAUACAGUAAUGCUUAACUUCCUUCCUCUGUAAUUGAUCACGUUUUCACCAAUAAAUACGAUCCGCUGUCAGGACUCCUUGACAGACUUUACAUGUUUUGCUCAGCCAUUUCAAAGGAUUUUGAGUAGGGCCUUUCCCCCGAAUAAUACCAAAACCCAUAAAAACAGAGGAUUGCUAAUGAACUGAGGAACACGUCUGACCCCAAGGAUACUGCAAGCAGUGACAGCCACGGGUCCCCUACCACAGGUGUCCCGGGCAAACCUCUUGAAGUUAAAGCAGCACAAGUUUCGCAGCGCGGUGACAGUACCGCUCUCCACUGAGAGAUGGGACGGAACAUAUA